rnacentral:rRNA from 1 species
AUGCAGAUGCAGUCGGCCGACGACGGCCCGACGGCCCCACCCGUCGCGGCGCUGAUCAAGCGGCACCGCCCGUGGGAGGAACUGCAGAACGUGGCCCUCGCGAUCAUCGACCACACCUACGCCGCGGCGCUCCAGAUCGUCGGGGGGACGCAGCACGAGGCGGCCGGCGUCGUGAAGCUCUGCCGGCCCAUCGACCCUGCGGACCCGGACUCGCCGGUGCUGACCGUCCACGCCGGCGCCGGGCACUGCUGCGUCGCCUUCAACAACACGCGCGGCGACGCGGAGGCGUUCCUGAGAUACACCUGCCCGAGGGGGAAGAGCAGGCCCACCCACUGCCUCGACCGGGCCACCAUCAGCAUCUCGCCGGGGACGCUCCACCUGGCCCGCGUCCACGACAGGCAUCUCGCCGCCGGGGGCUACAGGGGCCGCGUCGACGAGGUCGGGAGCAGCCGGCGGGAGCUCGCGAUACUCGACGCCAUCAUGUCCCGCCUGGAUACCGCGAUAGGCGUGGAGCAGGAGCUGCUCCUCAAGGCGAACGCGGCCCAGUGCGGCUCGUCCCCGAAGGUCGCCGAGAUCAGCGAGGUUUUCAAGGUCCUCAGCGAGAUGAGAAGCGAGAUGGACCUCGAGGCCGUCAUGCGCAGGAGACUCCAGAAGCGGCGCUGCCAGCCCGAAGAGGUCAUCACCGUCGCCCGCCCAGAUCAAGAUGAGCACGCCGACGCGACCGAGGUGCUGGCCAAGAGGUUGAAGACGCUGAGAGUACGCUCAAGCUCUAGGGUGCAGCAGAUGGAUGUGCUCGAACAGACUUGCAUGAGUGGCUCGUAUGAUAGAUGA